rnacentral:rRNA from 1 species
AUGGAUUACCCGAUGCGGGGGGUGCAGCAGCACCAAGGAUUCCGGGCGGUUCAUCCAUGGCAGUGGUGGCAGUGGCAGCUCUCCGUCCUGGCUUCUUCCUCUUCGCCUCCGGCUCCGUCGACGCGGCCGCCCAACCACGUCAGCUGGGAUGAGACCGGCGCCGCGCAUAUCUACUCCGCCGACCUCCCCGGCGUGAGGAAGGAGGAGAUCAGGGUGGAGAUUGAGGACGGGAGGUACCUCGUCAUACGCACCGAGCUGGACGCUGGUGACGCGGAAGUCCACGGCCGCCGAGGCAGCUUCGCGAGGAAGUUCCGGCUGCCGGGGAUGGUGGACGCCGACGGCAUCACGGCCGAGUACGGCCACGGCGUAGGCAUUUCCUAUAUGGCGCCCGUUGCACCCGUUACAGGCGUCGGCGCAAACGGGCGCACACCCCGCCUCCUUCCAUCGAUGCGACAUGGGCCAGCCCAUUUAACUUUUUUCUUCUUCUGUUAA